AGACCAAUUGAUUGCCAAAUCUGUGCCCUCCCCUUUUCACCUCUGAUCAACAACCAUAUGGUCACCUAGCUUCCGAGGAACCCCCCCCCCCUCUCUCUUUCCCACAAACGACGAUGCCUACGCGCACUCGACAUUCUCUUACUGCUACGACUCAAGUUGCUGAGCCUGAGGAAGAAUCGAGUGGCCUCCGUCGCCUAAGGUUUAACGAGACGCUCUCAUGGCGGGCUGGUCGAGCGAUUCCGGUUGCAGACUUGUUGGAGAGGCUGGAAUCGCUCGCGCUUGAACUGCGACAACUAGACCAGGAAG
rnacentral:sRNA from 2 species